ACCGUGGGGGUGCUAUAAUGCAGUCGAGCGGACAGAAGGGAGCUUGCUCCCGGAUGUUAGCGGCGGACAGGUGAGUAACACGUGGGUAACCUGCCCGUAAGACUGGGAUAACUCCGGGAAACCGGAGCUAAUACCGGAUAGUUCCUUGAACCGCAUGGUUCAAGGAUGAAAGACGGUUUCGGCUGUCACUUACAGAUGGACCCGCGGCGCAUUAGCUAGUUGGUGAGGUAACGGCUCACCAAGGCGACGAUGCGUAGCCGACCUGAGAGGGUGAUCGGCCACACUGGGACUGAGACACGGCCCAUACUCCUACGGGAGGCAGCAGUAGGGAAUCUUCCGCAAUGGACGAAAGUCUGACGGAGCAACGCCGCGUGAGUGAUGAAGGUUUUCGGAUCGUAAAGCUCUGUUGUUAGGGAAGAACAAGUGCAAGAGUAACUGCUUGCACCUUGACGGUACCUAACCAGAAAGCCACGGCUAACUACGUGCCAGCAGCCGCGGUAAUACGUAGGUGGCAAGCGUUGUCCGGAAUUAUUGGGCGUAAAGGGCUCGCAGGCGGUUUCUUAAGUCUGAUGUGAAAGCCCCCGGCUCAACCGGGGAGGGUCAUUGGAAACUGGGAAACUUGAGUGCAGAAGAGGAGAGUGGAAUUCCACGUGUAGCGGUGAAAUGCGUAGAGAUGUGGAGGAACACCAGUGGCGAAGGCGACUCUCUGGUCUGUAACUGACGCUGAGGAGCGAAAGCGUGGGGAGCGAACAGGAUUAGAUACCCUGGUAGUCCACGCCGUAAACGAUGAGUGCUAAGUGUUAGGGGGUUUCCGCCCCUUAGUGCUGCAGCUAACGCAUUAAGCACUCCGCCUGGGGAGUACGGUCGCAAGACUGAAACUCAAAGGAAUUGACGGGGGCCCGCACAAGCGGUGGAGCAUGUGGUUUAAUUCGAAGCAACGCGAAGAACCUUACCAGGUCUUGACAUCCUCUGACAACCCUAGAGAUAGGGCUUUCCCUUCGGGGACAGAGUGACAGGUGGUGCAUGGUUGUCGUCAGCUCGUGUCGUGAGAUGUUGGGUUAAGUCCCGCAACGAGCGCAACCCUCGAUCUUAGUUGCCAGCAUUCAGUUGGGCACUCUAAGGUGACUGCCGGUGACAAACCGGAGGAAGGUGGGGAUGACGUCAAAUCAUCAUGCCCCUUAUGACCUGGGCUACACACGUGCUACAAUGGACAGAACAAAGGGCUGCGAGACCGCAAGGUUUAGCCAAUCCCACAAAUCUGUUCUCAGUUCGGAUCGCAGUCUGCAACUCGACUGCGUGAAGCUGGAAUCGCUAGUAAUCGCGGAUCAGCAUGCCGCGGUGAAUACGUUCCCGGGCCUUGUACACACCGCCCGUCACACCACGAGAGUUUGCAACACCCGAAGUCGGUGAGGUAACCUUUAUGGAGCCAGCCGCCGAAGGUGGGGCAGAUGAUUGGGGUGAAGUCGAAACAAGUGCCGUAAGG
rnacentral:rRNA from 1 species